rnacentral:rRNA from 1 species
CCUACGGGAGGCUGCAGUGGGGGAUAUUGCACAAUGGGGGAAACCCUGAUGCAGCGACGCCGCGUGGGCGAAGAAGUAUUUCGGUAUGUAAAGCCCUAUCAGCAGGGAAGAAGAAAUGACGGUACCUGAGUAAGAAGCACCGGCUAAAUACGUGCCAGCAGCCGCGGUAAUACGUAUGGUGCAAGCGUUAUCCGGAUUUACUGGGUGUAAAGGGAGUGCAGGCGGCACGGCAAGCCUGAUGUGAAAGCCCGGGGCCCAACCGCGGGACUGCAUUGGGAACUACCGGGCUGGAGUGCCGGAGAGGUAGGCGGAAGUCCUAGUGUAGCGGUGAAAUGCGAAGAUAUUAGGAGGAACACCAGUGGCGAAGGCGGCCUACUGGACGGUGACUGACGCUGAGGCUCGAAAGCGUGGGGAGCAAACAGGAUUAGAUACCCGAGUAGUC